ensembl:lncRNA
UUUUUUUUUUUUUUUUCCUGGCUUGGAAGGGAUAUGUGGAUGACUUCACAGUUAAUUAAGAAGGUUUAGGAGCACAGAAGCCUUCCCAGCAGAACGGUGAGGCAAGAGGAUUGGGAGAGGAGAGGCAGUAGUGGAACUGGUUUUUACCAGAGCUGUUUCCUACACUGGUUCCCCACCACACACCUAGCUUUUGUCUGUAUGCUAAAGUCUUUAAAACCUUUUCACUUCGUUUGGAUAUACUGGUUGGUAGAAAACAACCUUCUUCCAAAAAGUUCUUCUAGGGAACCAAAAUCUACAAACAGUCUACAUCUUUAAGGGAUAUGUAUGUCCUCGUGAUUUUUACAGCCCAGUAUCCUUUUCAGAAGGGGACCUCUGGACACUUCCCAGCUCUCACCAACCAAGUGAUAUCCAGCAGAGCUGUGACUUGUCAGCAGCCUCGCCUGUGUAGCUCUGUGGGUCACAUUAUUUUUGCUCUCAGGUAACCACCACACUUGUUGGUUCCUCAUAAAAAAGCCCAACUUUUGCUAAGUUCCUGGAGGCUGUCUGAAUCAUAGCCAGCUACCUUGUCCCAGCUUUAUCUUUUGAUAAGUGCUUUUAGGUUCCUGUUUCUAGAAAAUGCCUUUGUCUGGUGAGCCAAGUGCUCCAGAGAGCUCUUGGUCUGCUCUGUUCCCUCUGGGGAUGUUGCAGCAGUGCCAUGUUUCUGUUGUGCAUUGCUUGUGUUGCCAGUUGACCUUGCUCUGAAUCUUCUGUCACACAACACAAGGCUCCUCACCCUGCCUACGUCACUGCCCUCCCAGGCUGCAAGCAAGAGGUGACUUUUGCUUUUAGUGCUGUUUAAGAGUUCCUUCAGCUUCUUUUCAAUGCACUCUUGUCAAUCAGCUUAGCACUUGUGUGUGUGUCCCAUUUUUAUCCCCUUCCACAGCUCUAUCAGUGAUCAGUCCUUGCACUGGCAAUCAUUUUUUUCCUUUUGAAGUCUAUUCACACCCUGCUAUGCACCUAUAGCUGCAUACAGGAAAAUCACAGAAGGGGAAAAGUCACAAGCUGUGUGCAUCAGACAACAGAUACAGCUUCAAACACUAUCUAGGAUGUAAGUAUAAAAAUCCCUGGAAUUUUGUACUCUGACAAUGAGUGUUCUGGUGUUGGGAGGACACUGGCAAUGGAACUGGGAACUUAUAAAACUAUGUAUUUCCUGAGUAAAAGGAACUUGGAACAAACUUCAGUGUUGUUGCUUCAUCAUGGAGGCCUGGGGGCUCACCUCAUAGCUCAGGAAAACAAGCCAAAAAAACCCAGAAAUAAACAAAAUUAUAACCAAAGCUUUUGGCUUUAGCAGAGCAGACAAAAAGUUUUCCAUCUGACAGCAAAAGCAGAGGGAGCAAACAGAGCUGUGAAGUGUGUGCACAGAGCACAGAGCAGCCCACUGAUUAUGCCAAAGCUGCUCUUGCUACGUUUCCUCUGGUCCAGAAUCCAGAGUGGGUAAGAGCAGCAUCCCUUUAUGGGUGGGCACUCUCUUUUCUCUGCUGCUACCCUGGGAAGAAUUUCUGUGGAAAACCUUGUUUUCAGCAUUUUGUUGAUUAGAAUUUUUACUUGAAGAACCAGUCAACACAGAAUUGAGAGCAGAGAGAGAGUCAGCAUCUUGUCCAGACACAGAUGUCCCCCAUUGCUAAUGCUAAACAGAGGUUUUUCAUGACUGUCUAAUUUGUUGUAUAGACAGGGCUUCUGAAAGGAUCCCAUUUGCCCCAAGUUUGGCCAAGGGAAAAUGAAAUGUCCAUUGAGCAUGGAAAGCUGGGUUUCUUAUGUCAAAAGUUGUAAUGCAUUUUUAGAUUGAUUUACAAAUCAGGAGAUCUGCAGUUCCAUGGUUUUCUGCCAGCUGGGAGGAAACAGAUGUGGAGCAUUUUAAACUUUCAAAAAAGCAUACCUAUGAGGCAUUUUUCAGGACAGAUGUCCAUUCCACCCUUUGCCAGGACCAUAUGGAUCUGCUUACAUUAUAUUUUGUGGGGUUGUUCAUAGAAAUUCUGCUUAUGUUGGAGUAUUUUGUAUUAGACUCAAUAAUUCUCUAAAACAAAAAACCACUAGCUGCUUGAACAGCUAUCUUCCAAAUUGCUCUCUCAAUGGCCUUCCUGGGGUUGUACCUCUGAAGCAUCUUUCCCUGAGUAGACCUCUUGUUCUGAUAGAUUUUCGUUCAAUUAUACACAUAAUGUUUCAGAAUGUUUUUUCUCUCUUUAGACUAGGACAACCUUCCAGGUAAUUUCCAACAAUUAAAUCAGAGUCAUUCUCCCUAACAGCAAAGAGGGGAACAACUUCAGCUUGCCUAGGACUCAUGUCUUCAGAAACUUUAGGCCAAGGCUUCAGCUGUCCAGCUGAUGUUUCUCUGUACUGAUGCUGCCUGGUUGUGUCCAUGGGCUGCUGUGUAUCCUUGUGGAGCCUCCAUGGGCUGGCUGUGUCCAUGGGCUCCUCUGUACCCCUUUGGGAGUGGCAGGUGGCUGUGCAGACUCUUCCACCCACCCCUCCAUGGAAUGCUGACAAGGUCACGGUUUUUGGUGAGCCUUGCCAAAUGGUACAUCAUCACUGCCAACCCAGGUGGUGUUCCUGCAGCAGUUUCACUUCCUUGGAUGGCUUUCUUCUGGAGUAUUUGCAUGCAGGCUAUUGCAAUCCAUAAAUUUCUCAGAAACGAAAAGGCGAGAAUUUGGUAUGCAGCCUUCUCUUUUACUGCUUUGAUUUUAUUUUUUAACUUCAUUCUUCCAUGGAUUUAAAUCUAUUUGACUGGAAAUGAGUGAAGGAACACAUUGAAACAAAGACUGAUGCAGGUUUGACUGGAAAGUUUAUUCUUAAGUUCCCCCCAUCACUUUGGAGCCUGACCAACAUCAGAGAUUUUAAUGUCACAGCUGGCGUGAUAGAAAUUCUGGCUUAGCUGUGCUGUAAGAAAAGAUCAACGGGAACUAUGGCCUGUGUCCCAUUUUUGGGUCCUGAAUUAUUGCCAAUUAUAAUAUCUCCUGCUGCAAGCACUGUCUCCCCAGAAUCACCCUGUGGGAACUGAUCAUAACUCUGCAGCAGCGAGCAGAAAGAGGGUUUGUGCACAGGGGGAAGGGCUGCAGAUGGGGAGAGCUGCCAUAAAUGGCUUAGCUGACAGCCCAGCUUUUUGCUGAACUGAAAACUUGUCUCGCUGGAAAUCAUGGGAAUUGGCUUAUGAAUUUCAGGCUGGAUGCAUCUGCACGGGGUUGUGUGUGCAAAGAGCUUGGCCUGGGGGUGCUGUGCUCUGUGCACGUGGUCUUGCUGCACAUCUGAUGUGCCACGUUGAUGUUGAGUAUGUAAAGCUGAAUGGAAUGUCUGUGGAACAGAGGGAAUGAGUAUCAUGUGUGCAAAGUAAUAAGCAAGGUUUUGAUCAGCCCAGCAUGCGACCCUUUUGUUACCCUUAUCCUGAUUUGUUUGUUUUGCCUUCUUCCUUCACAUUUUCAAAGGCCCUUCAUGAGGUUUGUUCCCAGUAGUUCUCAAGGAGUUUCUGCUCAGAGUGAUUUUCAGGGCAGAGCCCCAUUUAAACAGCAGUAAAAAGCACCAUUGUUGUGUCCUGUGAUCCAGAAUCCAUCCAGCUGCAGGUGAUGGAGCAGGAGAUGAAACAUUGCAGGAGUGAGACUCCACAGUUACUGGAUAUGGUUGUGAGAAAAAAGCCCAUCAAAAUAGUGAUGCUAACUAAAAGCCCGGUGUAGUACAGGCACACCCUUUCUGCUGCAGGUAUUGAGGUGUGAUGAUUAGACUUGUUCCCCUUAAGUACUUGCUUUGGCUGAGUAAUGGUGAUGCUUGCUUAUGGAUAUGGAAAUUUCACACCAGGCAAAUUCUAAUCUAGCAUUAAAAAUUAUUCAUGGCACAAACCUAAGUUUGAAGUGGAAAGGUGACACGAAGAGUUGAUUACAGGAAGGAAAAUAGGACUGACACAAAGAAAGAGGGGAAUGUACCACUGUUUUUUUCAUCAUAACAAACAAGUGGUUUCCAAACACUGGCGUAGGAAGUUGAGUUGGUUCAACAGUGAAUAUGUUCUAGGAAAUAAUUUAAUGUUUCUUGAGUAAUUUGAAAACUGAAAGGAGGGGAAAAGCUGUAAAAGGGGAGGGAUUUGCAUGGAUGUGCCACCCUACUCGCCAGUACACUGCAUUGCAGGCUAGAUGGUGGGUUUGUGAUUCUCAUUCUCUAAACCACAAAACUCUAAACUUCAAAAUGUUUUUUUCUAGAAGAGAAGAGGCAAUAGGAAGAAUGCAGGGCAAUGUUUUGUCAAAACCUGUUACAGAGGCAGAUUUUCCUAAAAGAUUUUCCUUAUAUCUAUCCAGGAAUAUAUUAUAUUAAAAAAAAAAAAAAAAAAAAAAAAAAGCUGUGGGGUCAGUCUGUGGAUACAAGCCCUCUAUUCCUCAGAAGUUAUACGCUCACCCUUCCCUGCACUCCGUGGGAGUCUUGGAUUUCAUUAUUUUCCUUUUCUAUCCAAAGUUUCAAAUAUCUUCUCUCCCUCAUGUAUUCUGUGGCUCUGCAAUAGCACUUUCCUUAACAUACAGAAACUAAUAACGGUUAAUUUGAUCACUGCCCUUAAAGGAAACACAUAUUCAAGCUUUUCAACUUGUUCAUCCAGUGUUCCCCUGAACAUGCCAUCUGUGAUACAGGCUAUGCAGGUUGCCUUCACCCAUGAGAUCCCGGACAUUCUGUGCUGUAGCAGUGGCCAGUCCUGGUUUUCCAGCUGUGUCACAGUGUCCCCAGCUCAUCUCUGACCACCAGCUUGGUACAAAUUGGAGUUGGGUUAAUGAAUGGCUGUGCUGCUGUC